rnacentral:rRNA from 1 species
AUUGAACGCUGGCGGCAUGCCUUACACAUGCAAGUCGAACGGCAGCACGGGAGCAAUGCUGGUGGCGAGUGGCGAACGGGUGAGUAAUAUAUCGGAACGUGCCCAGUCGUGGGGGAUAACGCAGCGAAAGCUGUGCUAAUACGGCAUACGAUCGAUGGAUGAAAGCGGGGGAUCGCAAGACAUCGCGGGAUUGGAGCGGCCGAUAUCAGAUUAGCUAGUUGGGGAGGUAAAGGCUCACCAAGGCGACGAUCUGUAGCUGGUCUGAGAGGACGACCAGCCACCCUGGAACUGAGACACGGUCCAGACUCCUACGGGAGGCAGCAGUGGGGAAUUUUGGACAAUGGGCGAAAGCCUGAUCCAGCAAUGCAGCGUGCAGGAUGAAGGCCUUCGGGUUGUAAACUGCUUUUGUACGGAACGAAACGGUGAGCUCUAAUACAGUUUGCUAAUGACGGUACCGUAAGAAUAAGCACCGGCUAACUACGUGCCAGCCGCCGCCGUAA